ACGUUUGUAAUCAGCGUCAUGACCCAGGAAUCCCUUGUAAAUGUGUGUCACCAACGCACGUUGAAUACGUCCCUGCCCUUUGUACACACCGCCCGUCGCUCCUACCGAUUGGAUGACUCGGUGAAAUCACCGGAUGCUUACGAGCAGAAAGUGAUUAAAUCACGUUAUCUAGAGGAAGGAGAAGUCGUAACAAGGUAACGGUAGGUGAACCUGCCGUUGGAUCAGUU
rnacentral:ncRNA from 1 species